GUCGAGCGGCGGACGGGUGAUUAAUGCCUAGGAAAUUGCCCUGAUGUGGGGGAUAACCAUUGGAAACGAUGGCUAAUACCGCAUGAUGCCUACGGGCCAAAGAGGGGGACCUUCGGGCCUCUCGCGUCAGGAUAUGCCUAGGUGGGAUUAGCUAGUUGGUGAGGUAAGGGCUCACCAAGGCGACGAUCCCUAGCUGGUCUGAGAGGAUGAUCAGCCACACUGGAACUGAGACACGGUCCAGACUCCUACGGGAGGCAGCAGUGGGGAAUAUUGCACAAUGGGCGCAAGCCUGAUGCAGCCAUGCCGCGUGUGUGAAGAAGGCCUUCGGGUUGUAAAGCACUUUCAGUCGUGAGGAAGGUAGUGUAGAUAAUAGCUGCAUUAUUUGACGUUAGCGACAGAAGAAGCACCGGCUAACUCCGUGCCAGCAGCCGCGGUAAUACGGAGGGUGCGAGCGUUAAUCGGAAUUACUGGGCGUAAAGCGCAUGCAGGUGGUUUGUUAAGUCAGAUGUGAAAGCCCGGGGCUCAACCUCGGAAUAGCAUUUGAAACUGGCAGACUAGAGUACUGUAGAGGGGGGUAGAAUUUCAGGUGUAGCGGUGAAAUGCGUAGAGAUCUGAAGGAAUACCGGUGGCGAAGGCGGCCCCCUGGACAGAUACUGACACUCAGAUGCGAAAGCGUGGGGAGCAAACAGGAUUAGAUACCCUGGUAGUCCACGCCGUAAACGAUGUCUACUUGGAGGUUGUGGCCUUGAGCCGUGGCUUUCGGAGCUAACGCGUUAAGUAGACCGCCUGGGGAGUACGGUCGCAAGAUUAAAACUCAAAUGAAUUGACGGGGGCCCGCACAAGCGGUGGAGCAUGUGGUUUAAUUCGAUGCAACGCGAAGAACCUUACCUACUCUUGACAUCCAGAGAACUUUCCAGAGAUGGAUUGGUGCCUUCGGGAACUCUGUGACAGGUGCUGCAUGGCUGUCGUCAGCUCGUGUUGUGAAAUGUUGGGUUAAGUCCCGCAACGAGCGCAACCCUUAUCCUUGUUUGCCAGCGAGUAAUGUCGGGAACUCCAGGGAGACUGCCGGUGAUAAACCGGAGGAAGGUGGGGACGACGUCAAGUCAUCAUGGCCCUUACGAGUAGGGCUACACACGUGCUACAAUGGCGCAUACAGAGGGCGGCCAACUUGCGAAAGUGAGCGAAUCCCAAAAAGUGCGUCGUAGUCCGGAUUGGAGUCUGCAACUCGACUCCAUGAAGUCGGAAUCGCUAGUAAUCGUGGAUCAGAAUGCCACGGUGAAUACGUUCCCGGGCCUUGUACACACCGCCCGUCACACCAUGGGAGUGGGCUGCAAAAGAAGUAGGUAGUUUAACCUUCGGGGGG
rnacentral:rRNA from 1 species